GACGAACGCUGGCGGCGUGCUUAACACAUGCAAGUCGAACGGUGAAAGCGGAGCUUGCUCCGCUGGAUCAGUGGCGAACGGGUGAGUAACACGUGGGCAACCUGCCCCUCACUUCGGGAUAACUCCGGGAAACCGGGGCUAAUACCGGAUAUGACCUCCUUGGGCAUCCUUGGAGGUGGAAGGUGUUUAGGUGAGGGAUGGCCCGAGGCCUGUCAGCUUGUUGGUGAGGUAGUGGCUCACCAAGGCGACGACGGGUAGCCGGCCUGAGAGGGCGACCGGCCACACUGGGCAUGAGACACGGCCCAGACUCGUACGGGAGUCAGCAGUGGGGAAUAUUGCGCAAGGGACGAAAGCCUGACGAAGCAACGCCGCGUGCGGGAUGACGGCGUUCGGGUUGUAACCCGCUUUCAGCAGGGAAGAAGCCGCAAGGUGACGGUACCUGCAGAAGAAGCACCGGCUAACUACGUGCCAGCAGCCGCCGCAG
rnacentral:rRNA from 1 species